rnacentral:rRNA from 2 species
AGCCGACCUGAGAGGGUGAUCGGCCACACUGGGACUGAGACACGGCCCAGACUCCUACGGGAGGCAGCAGUAGGGAAUCUUCCGCAAUGGACGAAAGUCUGACGGAGCAACGCCGCGUGAGUGAUGAAGGUUUUCGGAUCGUAAAACUCUGUUGUUAGGGAAGAACAAGUGCGAGAGUAACUGCUCGCACCUUGACGGUACCUAACCAGAAAGCCACGGCUAACUACGUGCCAGCAGCCGCGGUAAUACGUAGGUGGCAAGCGUUGUCCGGAAUUAUUGGGCGUAAAGCGCGCGCAGGCGGUUUCUUAAGUCUGAUGUGAAAGCCCCCGGCUCAACCGGGGAGGGUCAUUGGAAACUGGGAAACUUGAGUGCAGAAGAGGAGAGUGGAAUUCCACGUGUAGCGGUGAAAUGCGUAGAGAUGUGGAGGAACACCAGUGGCGAAGGCGACUCUCUGGUCUGUAACUGACGCUGAGGCGCGAAAGCGUGGGGAGCGAACAGGAUUAGAUACCCUGGUAGUCCACGCCGU